rnacentral:rRNA from 1 species
GACGAACGUUGGCGGCGUGCUUAGUACAUGCCAGUCAACUGAAGCAGUGGUAGCAAUAUCGCUGUGGAGGUGGCGCACGGGUGAGUAACACGUAGGUAAUCUGCCUUCAGGUCUGGCAUAACUCCGGGAAACCGGGGCUAAUAGCAGAUGAUGCAGCGGCUCGACAUCGAGACAGUUGUUAAAGCUAUGGCGCCUGAAGAUGAGCCUGCGUCUGAUUAGCUAGUUGGCGGGGUAACGGCCCACCAAGGCAACGAUCAGUAGCUGGUCUGAGAGGAUGAUCAGCCACACUGGAACUGAGACACGGUCCAGACUCCUACGGGAGGCAGCAGUAAGGAAUAUUGCUCAAUGGGAGAAAUCCUGAAGCAGCAACGCCGCGUGAGGGACGAAGGGCUUUUGCUUGUAAACCUCUGUAGUGAGAGAAAAAAAUCCCAAUCUUUGGGACAUGAUGGUAUCUCAAAAGUAAGCCCCGGCUAACUACGUG